AUGACAAGUCGAACGAUGAAGCCGGAGCUUGCUCUGGUGGAUUAGUGGCGAACGGGUGAGUAACACGUGAGUAACCUGCCCUUGACUCUGGAAUAAGCGUUGGAAACGACGUCUAAUACUGGAUACGAGCUUCAGCCGCAUGGCUAGGAGCUGGAAAGAAUUUCGGUCAAGGAUGGACUCGCGGCCUAUCAGGUAGUUGGUGAGGUAAUAGCUCACCAAGCCUACGACGGGUAGCCGGCCUGAGAGGGUGACCGGCCACACUGGAACUGAGACACGGUCCAGACUCCUACGGGAGGCAGCAGUGGGGAAUAUUGCACAAUGGGCGAAAGCCUGAUGCAGCAACGCCGCGUGAGGGACGACGGCCUUCGGGUUGUAAACCUCUUUUAGUAGGGAAGAAGCGAAAGUGACGGUACCUGCAGAAAAAGCACCGGCUAACUACGUGCCAGCAGCCGCGGUAAUACGUAGGGUGCAAGCGUUAUCCGGAAUUAUUGGGCGUAAAGAGCUCGUAGGCGGUUUGUCGCGUCUGCUGUGAAAACUGGGGGCUCAACCCCCCAGCCUGCAGUGGGUACGGCAGACUAGAGUGCGGUAGGGGAGAUUGGAAUUCCUGGUGUAGCGGUGGAAUGCGCAGAUAUCAGGAGGAACACCAAUGGCGAAGGCAGAUCUCUGGGCCGGUUACUGACGCUGAGAGCGAAAAGCUUGGGGGAGCGACCAGGAUUUAAAAAUACCCUGGUUAAGUU
rnacentral:rRNA from 1 species